AUUUAACUUGGUAAUGGACAGGUUACUUAGAACCUUACCCAGCGAAAUUGGUGCCAAAGUCGGAAAUGCCAUUACUAACGCGGCCGCGUUUGCAGAUGAUUUGGUACUAUUUGCGGAAACUCGGAUGGGGCUUCAAGUAUUGUUGGACAAGACGUUGGAUUUUCUAUCUAUCGUCGGCCUCAAACUUAAUGCCGACAAAUGUUUUACCGUUGGCAUUAAGGGCCAGCCGAAACAGAAGUGUACCGUGUUAGAGGCACAGAGCUUCUACGUAGGCUCGAGUGAGAUUCCAUCACUGAAGCGCACGGACGAGUGGAAGUACUUAGGCAUCAACUUCACUGCAACCGGGAGGGUUCGAUGCAAUCCGGCCGAGGACAUUGGUCCAAAGCUACAAAGAUUGACAAAGGCCCCCCUCAAACCACAACAGAGGUUGUUCGCCCUUCGGACUGUCCUUAUCCCACAGCUCUACCACAAGUUAGCCCUUGGGAGUGUGGCGAUAGGCGUCCUAAGAAAAACUGAUAAACUUAUAAGAUAUUAUGUGCGAAGAUGGCUAAAUCUUCCGCUGGAUGUGCCGAUAGCAUUUGUUCAUGCACCCCCAAAAAGUGGAGGUCUCGGAAUUCCAUCACUAAGAUGGGUAGCUCCAAUGUUAAGGCUAAGACGCUUGAGUAACAUUAAAUGGCCUCACCUCACGCAAAACGAGGUAGCCAGCUCUUUCCUCGAAGCCGAAAAACAACGGGCCCGAGAUAGAUUAUUAGCUGAACAAAAUGAACUGUUAUCGCGUCCGGCAAUAGAAAAAUAUUGGGCGAACAAGUUGUACCUCUCAGUUGAUGGUAGCGGACUCCGUGAAGCGGGCCAUUAUGGCCCGCAACACGGGUGGGUUAGUCAACCCACGCGUUUAUUAACAGGAAAGGAAUAUAUAGACGGUAUUCGUCUGCGGAUAAAUGCCCUACCCACAAAGUCUCGUACUACAAGGGGAAGGCACGAAUUGGAACGACAGUGUCGUGCAGGAUGUGAUGCUCCCGAAACAACAAACCACAUAAUGCAAAAAUGCUACCGCUCGCAUGGGAGGCGGGUAGCUAGACACAACUGCGUAGUAAAUCGAAUCAAGCGGGGACUUGAGGAGAGAGGCUGCGUGGUCAUUGUUGAACCAAGUCUGCAGUGCGAAUCCGGCCUUAAUAAACCAGACCUGGUGGCACUACGACAAAAUCACAUUGAUGUGAUCGACAUACAAAUUGUGACAGACGGACACUCUAUGGAUGAUGCGCACCAGCGCAAAAUCAAUAGAUACGACAGACCGGACAUACGAACUGAAUUGCGUCGCAGAUUCGAAGCCGCAGGUGACAUUGAAUUCCAUUCUGCCACCCUGAACUGGAGGGGGAUCUGGAGUGGUCAAUCCGUUAAAAGAUUGAUAGCAAAGGGUCUCCUCAGCAAAUAUGAUAGUCAUAUCAUUAGCGUCCAGGUUAUGAGAGGCAGUCUCGGUUGUUUUAAACAGUUCAUGUACCUGAGCGGGUUUUCCCGAGAUUGGACUUAGCUAAAUCGUUUGGUUCAAAACAUUUGCUUGCUGUCUUGGCAUAACAUCAAUAAAGGCAUAAACAUCGCAAAAUAAUGGUUAUAAUUAAAUGGCUAUGAGGAUGGUUUUAGUACGUAGGCGUUGCGGAACUUCGGUUCAUAUAGAGCAAUGAAUCGUGCAUGCUAGGAAAACUGACCACACACAGUGUUGGCAGACCUAGUAUCUUUCGAAGAUUUCCAUACCUCCGCGAUCAAAAAAAAAAAAAAAAAAAAAAUAGCCAAAUGCCUCGUCAUCUAAUUAGUGACGCGCAUGAAUAGAUUAACGAGAUUCCUACUGUCCCUAUCUACUAUCUAGCGAAACCACAGCCAAGGGAACGGGCUUGGAAUAAUUAGCGGGGAAAGAAGACCCUUUUGAGCUUGACUCUAAUCUGGCAGUGUAAGGAGACAUAAGAGGUGUAGAAUAAGUGGGAGAUAUUAGACCUCGGUUUGGUAUCGUCAAUGAAAUACCACUACUCUUAUUGUUUCCUUACUUACUUGAUUAAAUGGAACGUGUAUCAUUUCCUAGCCAUUAUACGGAUAUAUUUAUUAUAUCUUAUGGUAUUGGGUUUUGAUGCAAGCUUCUUGAUCAAAGUAUCACGAGUUUGUUAUAUAAUCGCAAACAAAUUCUUUAAUAAAACGAUGCAUUUAUGUAUUUUUGAUUUGAAAAUUUGGUAUAACUCCAAUUACUCAGGUAUGAUCCAAUUCAAGGACAUUGCCAGGUAGGGAGUUUGACUGGGGCGGUACAUCUCUCAAAUAAUAACGGAGGUGUCCCAAGGCCAGCUCAGUGCGGACAGAAACCACACAUAGAGCAAAAGGGCAAAUGCUGACUUGAUCUCGGUGUUCAGUACACACAGGGACAGCAAAAGCUCGGCCUAUCGAUCCUUUUGGUUUAAAGAGUUUUUAACAAGAGGUGUCAGAAAAGUUACCAUAGGGAUAACUGGCUUGUGGCGGCCAAGCGUUCAUAGCGACGUCGCUUUUUGAUCCUUCGAUGUCGGCUCUUCCUAUCAUUGUGAAGCAAAAUUCACCAAGCGUUGGAUUGUUCACCCAUGCAAGGGAACGUGAGCUGGGUUUAGACCGUCGUGAGACAGGUUAGUUUUACCCUACUAAUGACAAAACGUUGUUGCGACAGCAUUCCUGCGUAGUACGAGAGGAACCGCAGGUACGGACCAAUGGCACAAUACUUGUUCGAGCGAACAGUGGUAUGACGCUACGUCCGUUGGAUUAUGCCUGAACGCCUCUAAGGUCGUAUCCGUGCUGGACUGCAAUGAUAAAUAAGGGGCAAUUUGCAUUGUAUGGCUUCUAAACCAUUUAAAGUUUAUAAUUUACUUUAUAAACGACAAUGGAUGUGAUGACAAUGUAAUUUGUAACAUAGUAAAUUGGGAGGAUCUUCGAUCACCUGAUGCCGCGCUAGUUACAUGUAAAAGCAUUAUUU
rnacentral:rRNA from 1 species